rnacentral:tRNA from 1 species
AGCUGUUUAGCUAUAUUAAUAAGUAAGUGACUUGAAAUCACGGGAAAGCACACGCUAGCAGCUU